UAAUCAUACAAAAUUCUCUGAGAGCGCUCAGAGGUAUCUUUUAAAUUGUUCUUUUCAACCUUCUCUUUGGAAUUGUCAUUUCUUUGGAGGUGGCAGUCAGCAUGGGAAGUGCUGUGAGAAAACUGAACCAAAUUUAGCACUCGAUAGGAACAAAAUCCUUCUGCUUGGCUUCGCUGUAGGUCUACAGGAUCUUGAAGCUGAGUCUGUUCAGUAGGAAAUUACUGGCACAUUCCCUUGGUCUGUGUGACAUUCUCAAUUCUUGCCUUAGUCCAGGACAUUUUUACUGUAGCCUUGCAAGGGAGUGAAGCAAAGUAUUUACACAUUUAAACCAUAUUUUAUCCAUUUAUUUCCCCACUGAAACUGCUUCCACAUGAUGACAAGUUCUACAAUAACAGCCCAAAAUUGCAACUUCUAGUUUUCAUCUUUAAGCUGUCUUGUAGUUGCUGCACUCUGUCCUAGAUGCAUCAGUCUGAUACUGCUUAUACAAUUUUAAUGCUGUGCACUGAACUGCAAGCAUUUGAGAUGGACUUACAUGGUGGCAAAUUAACUGAGAGACAAAACAUCAUAUUAAUGAUGGAGAAUGAUAGAUACACUUA